rnacentral:lncRNA from 1 species
AUGGCCCAGUCCCUGGAAACUGUACCCAGGGUCUCCAAGUGGCUUGCUCAGGUAAGGGCCAGAACCCCUUUCCCCGGCCUCCAAGCAUGGUCCUGGUCUGUGCGGCGGGGACAGCUAGGGCCAUCAGGUUCAAGUGGAGGGGGAUGGGCCUCCUGGCUCCGGUACCUUUGCAGGUGGAGGAAUGGUCCACCCUAUGAGGUGCGGAUGCUUGGUAACACCAGACUGAGUGACGCUACUGCCUGGGCCUGGCUAUUGAAGAUGUGCCCCUGUCCAUGGGGGUGAUCGAACCCCAGAUGCUGCUCUCACCACUCAACACAGUGGAGUUUCACUGGAACCUCCCAAUGCAGUUUGGAGUUUUAAGUUGCAAGUUUCAAGUAUCUUGAAGUUUCAAGAGGAUCUCCCUCUUCCGGUGGGUGAGUCUGAAGCUGGGACUGGGUGGAGGCUGGAGGUCCUUUGGGAGUGGAAGCAGGCCUGGUGGGAAAGGAAGGGGAAUUUGGGUGGGGGUGAGGAAAUAGUAAGAACAAACCCAGUUCCAGAAAGCACUUUGAAGAUAAAAUAUGGCUAAAUGUUUAUUGAAUCUCACCAUAAGGAAGGACUUGUUUUUGUUUCUUCUUUGUGUGUGUGUGUUUAAGAUUCCAUUUAUUUAUUUGACAGAGAGCGUGAGAGAUCACAAGUAGGCAGAGAGGUGGAAACAGUCUCCCAACAUGGGGCUUGAUCCCAGGAUCUUGAGAUUAGGGCCAGAGCCAGAGGCAGAGGUUUAACCCACUAAGCCACCCAGGUGCCCCCCAAGGAAGUACUUGUUAAACCUGAAAGCAAUGGAAGAAGCUAGAAAACUCAGGAUGCAACUUAGCUUCAAAAAAAGUAAUGGUCUGCAAUACAUAGGCAAAAUUCAAAGGAGGCAUCAAAUGGGAAAAAUAGUUGUCAUAUGACAUAUGUUUAUAGCCUCCAUAUAUAAAAAGUUCUCAUAUAUCAAUAAGAAAAAUAGAUAAAAGCUCAAUAGAAAAGUAGGCAAAGGAUAUAAGCAGAUAAUUUAUGCAAGAAGGAUACAAAUU